rnacentral:rRNA from 1 species
UGAGUAACCUGCCCUUAACUCUGGGAUAAGCCUGGGAAACUGGGUCUAAUACCGGAUAUGACUCCUCAUCGCAUGGUGGGGUGUGGAAAGUCUUUUUGUGGUUUUGGAUGGACUCGCGGCCUAUCAGCUUGUUGGUGAGGUAAUGGCUCACCAAGGCGACGACGGGUAGCCGGCCUGAGGAGGGUGACCGGCCACACGUGGGACUGAGACACGGCCCAGACCUCCGUACGGGAGCAG